rnacentral:rRNA from 1 species
UACGUAGGGUGCGAGCGUUGUCCGGAAUUAUUGGGCGUAAAGAGCUUGUAGGCGGUUUGUCGCGUCUGCUGUGAAAAUCCGGGGCUCAACCCCGGACUUGCAGUGGGUACGGGCAGACUAGAGUGUGGUAGGGGAGACUGGAAUUCCUGGUGUAGCGGUGAAAUGCGCAGAUAUCAGGAGGAACACCGAUGGCGAAGGCAGGUCUCUGGGCCACUACUGACGCUGAUGCGCGACAGCGUGGGGAGCAACAGG